GAUGAACGCUGGCGGCGUGCUUAACACAUGCAAGUCGAACGAUGAAGCCCAGCUUGCUGUUUGGUUUAGUUGCGAACGGGUGAGUAACACGUAAGCAGCCUACCCCUCACUCUGGGAUAAACGCUUGAAACGGCGUCUAAUACUUGAUAUGUGCCGUCACGGCAUGGUGUGCGGGUGGAAAGAUUAUGCGGUUGGUGCUGGGCUCGCAGCCUAUCAGCUUGUUGGUGAGGUAAUGGCUCACCAAGGCUUCGACGGGUAGCCGGCCUGAGAGGGUGACCGGCCACACUGGGCCUGCGACACGGCCCAGAAUCCUACGGGCGGCAGUAGUGGGGAAUAUUGCACAAUGGGCGGACGCCUGAUGCAGCAACGCUGCGUGAGGGAUGACGGCUUUCGGGUUGUAAACAUAUUUUAGAAGGGAAGAAGAGAACGUGACGGUACCUGAAGAAAAAGCCCCGGCUAACUACGUG
rnacentral:rRNA from 1 species